AGUUGGUGGGGUAACGGCCCACCAAGCCGACGAUCAGUAGCCGACCUGAGAGGGUGACCGGCCACAUUGGGACUGAGACACGGCCCAAACUCCUACGGGAGGCAGCAGCGGGGAAUAUUGCACAAUGGGGGAAACCCUGAUGCAGCGACGCCGCGUGAGCGAAGAAGUAUUUCGGUAUGUAAAGCUCUAUCAGCAGGGAGGAAGAAAGUGACGGUACCUGACUAAGAAGCUCCGGCUAAAUAC
rnacentral:rRNA from 1 species